rnacentral:misc_RNA from 1 species
GUGCUUUAGAAAUUAAAACAAAUAGGGAUCGGUAAAAUGAGAGAAAGCUAAAGGUAAAUGUAGCUCAUGGUGACCUUAUCAACAGACCUUCUCUUGCACAUAAGCAAUAUGUCCAUGAUGAAGACUCAGAGAAGGAAGAUGACUAUGAGCUAAUCUAAUUCAAUAGAUAUCAACGGUAUGGUGGGAAGCAGACGAGCGUAUGAGAAUCAUGAAGGGGAAAAUCUACCGAAAAUUAAUAUUCCUAAUUUUUAUAGGGAUCUCAACAUUGAAGAAUUCU